AUGAUGGAGGACAGUAGUUUCGUCUGAAUUGUUCCUGUUUUUUUCCUAUCGCUAGUAAAAGAAUUCAAGUGUAUUAUAAAUGAAUAAUGAUUUUGUGGUGCCUGAUAUCGUCUCGGCUGAUGUAUACAUAUAAAAUAUGCCGCCGUCGACCUACACCGAGUAUGGCCUUGGGAUUUAGAUGACUGUCGACUUAGGAUGAAGAUCAAAGAAAUGUUCAUCAGAGAUGAAUAUGAUGCUUCGACUUUGAUUUUUGAUCAUCUAUAAAGAUCAAAGAAACGUACAUCGGAAAAGAAUACGAUGC